rnacentral:rRNA from 1 species
UAAGCAUAUCAAUAAGCGGAGGAAAAGAAACCAACAGGGAUUGCCCUAGUAACGGCGAGUGAAGCGGCAACAGCUCAAAUUUGAAAUCUGGCUUCGGCCCGAGUUGUAAUUUGCAGAGGAAGCUUUAGGCGCGGCACCUUCUGAGUCCCCUGGAACGGGGCGCCACAGAGGGUGAGAGCCCCGUAUAGUUGGAUGCCUAGCCUGUGUAAAGCUCCUUCGACGAGUCGAGUAGUUUGGGAAUGCUGCUCAAAAUGGGAGGUAAAUUUCUUCUAAAGCUAAAUACCGGCCAGAGACCGAUAGCGCACAAGUAGAGUGAUCGAAAGAUGAAAAGCACUUUGAAAAGAGGGUUAAAUAGCACGUGAAAUUGUUGAAAGGGAAGCGCUUGUGACCAGACUUGCGCCGGGCGGAUCAUCCGGUGUUCUCACCGGUGCACUCCGCCCGGCUCAGGCCAGCAUCGGUUCUCGCGGGGGGAUAAAGGCCCAGGGAACGUAGCUCCUCCGGGAGUGUUAUAGCCCGGGGCGUAAUGCCCUCGCGGGGACCGAGGACCGCGCUCUGCAAGGAUGCUGGCGUAAUGGUCACCAGCGACCCGUCUUGAAACACGGACCAAGGAGUCAAGGUUUUGCGCGAGUGUUUGGGUGUAAAACCCGCACGCGUAAUGAAAGUGAACGUAGGUGAGAGCUUCGGCGCAUCAUCGACCGAUCCUGAUGUAUUCGGAUGGAUUUGAGUAGGAGCGUUAAGCCUUGGACCCGAAAGAUGGUGAACUAUGCUUGGAUAGGGUGAAGCCAGAGGAAACUCUGGUGGAGGCUCGCAGCGGUUCUGACGUGCAAAUCGAUCGUCAAAUCUGAGCAUGGGGGCGAAAGACUAAUCGAACCAUCUAGUAGCUGGUUACCGCCGAAGUU